rnacentral:rRNA from 1 species
GAUGAACGCUGGCGGCGUGCCUAAUACAUGCAAGCCGAGCGAACGGACGAGAAGCUUGCUUCUCUGAUGUUAGCGGCGGACGGGUGAGUAACACGUGGAUAACCUACCUAUAAGACUGGGAUAACUUCGGGAAACCGGAGCUAAUACCGGAUGAUAUUUUGAACCGCAUGGUUCAAAAGUGAAAGACGGUCUUGCUGUCACUUAUAGAUGGAUCCGCGCUGCAUUAGCUAGUUGGUAAGGUAACGGCUUACCAAGGCAACGAUGCAUAGCCGACCUGAGAGGGUGAUCGGCCACACUGGAACUGAGACACGGUCCAGACUCCUACGGGAGGCAGCAGUAGGGAAUCUUACGCAAUGGGCGAAAGCCUGACGGAGCAACGCCGCGUGAGUGAUGAAGGUCUUCGGAUCGUAAAACUCUGUUAUUAGGGAAGAACAUAUGUGUAAGUAACUGUGCACAUCUUGACGGUACCUAAUCAGAAAGCCACGGCUAACUACGUG